ensembl:lncRNA
GGCAGAGAGACCAGUAAAGACACUGGCAGAGAGACCAGUAAAGACACUGGCAGAGAGACAAUAACAAAAGCUAGUCAAGAGACCCGAAAGGACAGCAGGAGCAGAGGGAAAGAUAAGGAGGCGGAAAAGAUAAUCAAGGAGAUGGAGACUGGCAAAAAAGAGACCAGUACAGAGACUCGCAAAAAGUUAGGGAGUAAGACUAGAAACAUGACAGUCCAUGAGACCAGCAAAGACACUGGGAAAAUGACCAGUACAGAGACUGUUAAGGAGACUGAGAGAGAGACUAGCACAGACAUGGAGAGAGAGACCUGUAGAGCUGUUAGUAUAGUGGCCAGUAGAAUCAGCAAUAGAGAAACCAAAAAAAAGCCAGAGACUUGUAAAACACCUGAAAAGAAGACCAAUACUCAGACUGUGAAAGAAAAAACUAAAGUGACUCCUCCCCCCAUCUCCCCUCCAACCACUAAUCUGUGGGAUUUCCUGAAGAGGCAGAACCGAGGAGCUGUGAUUGGUCUGAGUGCACUCAUCGAGUGCCACAGUCACGGCCAGCCCCCCCUCUACCUCUGCCAGGUGUGUGGGUGUAAAGUCUUCCAGAACGCCAUCAUCGUCCAUGUAACCACAGACUGCCACCGGCUUUCCUACCUGAGGUCGCUGAAGACAGUGGUUGUCCCCAAAGGGAACCAGCUCCAUAAGAAGUUGAGGAGAGCUGCCUUGAAGCUGGAGAGGACCAUGGGAUAUGGAGAGGCUGAGGUAACGGAGUUGGAUGCACACACUUACAAUUUUGUUGCAGAAAGAUCCUUUGCCAUUGGCCUGAACAUUGUAAUGAAGGUCAUAAAUGGUGACCCUUCACCUGACCCCCUACUGUUGGUCAGCCCUAAACCCCCUGACCCCUCACCCCAGGUCAGCCCUGACCCCUCACUCCAGGUGUCAGAGGUCAGCAACCCCACCAUGACCUCUACAGCUCUGUGGUCCUACCUGAAUGCCUCCACCAGGACACAGCCUGUCAUCGGUGUCAGUAUGUUGACAGAGUUGCCAGACAGACAUGGUGACUACUUCCUCUGCCGCUGCUGUUCUCACAGGAUGUUUACAUCAUCCCUCAUUGGACACCUAAUCUCUGCUCGACACCGCUACCACUACAUAAAACUAGUGUACCCUGAGCUGGCUGCUGAUUGGCCAGUGAGCCCAGAGCUGACGGUGAAGGCGGGGCCUCUUCAUGAGGAGCUGAGAGUGAGAGCUGCAGAACUGGAGGCACAGGAGGGACUAGGACAGCUCACGGUGGUAAAGAGAGAACCUGCUGCUGGAGACACAACCACUACCAAUACUGAAGGGACUGCCCAGCAGAGCCAGAACGGCUCACCUCCUCUCUCUGUGAAAGAGGAACCGGUUGACUCCACAGUACCAUCCCAGCCCCCUAGAGGAGAAAAGAGGAACAAGAGGAGGAGCAACCCUGUGGUUGGUGUGAACUUCCUGGUCCAGGUGUCCCACAGGAGAAGGAAACAGUACUACUGUCAGCUAUGUUCUGUCAGGAUGAAACACGCUAUUGCUGAUCACAUGACCAGCCUCAGCCACCGACACAACUAUGUGAGGUUGAAGUACCCUGGUUGGACCUCCAGCCCGGUAGAGAUGGAGAAGAAGCUGUUCAAAAUGGCCGUUCACCUGGAGAAGGUCGACAGAGACGCAGGAAUGGGCAUGCAGAAGGUAGAAGUGGAAGCUGAUGAGUACAAAGAGCUGUUGUCCUUUCCUGUGGAGGAAGGUGUCAGUAAACUGCAAGCCAUCAUCAGACGGCAACAAGAGCCAUGCGAUCUGAGACACACAGCUCCCUCGACCAAUCACAACCCAGAGGAUCUGAGACAGACAGCUCCCUUGUCCAAUCCCGAUGCAGCCCAAUGUCCAGCUCAAGGUAUGUGUGGGGCAGAGUCACGUGAGACCGAGGGAGUGUGUCCUCUCCCUGUCAGUCUAUCAGAGGAGGAGAAUGACCAGACGCUCCUGGUUCAGAUCUCAAUGUUUUUGGGAGAAGACCAGGAACCCCUACAAGUACCUUCCCGUUCCUCCAGGAUCAGCCACCCCUUAUUUCCAUCCCUCUCCCACUCUCUACACCUCACCCUAUCCCCCUCUCUUCCUCAAUCCCCCUCCCUCUCUCCCUCAAACCCCUUUUCUACCUCUCUUUCCACAGUUGUCCUAUCUACCUCACCCUCCCUCUCUUCCUCCAUACCAUCCCACACCCCCUCGUUGUCCACAGAGAAGACAACACACCCCUCCCCUGUCUCUGUCCCUGUUCCUGCACCUCUCUCAGCUCUGAGGAGCUCAACACAUUUGAAGGACUGGGAGACUUCUCUGAGUCCAGAGUGGUGGGAGAGGAAGAGCCCAGAAUGCAGAGAGACACAGACGCUUCUAGAAAUACCAGACAGACACACUCUUCUGGAAUACUCGGGCAGAGACAGACAGAUUGAAUACUCAGCGACAGACCGACAGACUGCAUACACUGAGAGAAACCGACAGACUCAUCUAGAAUACUCUGAGAGAGACAGACGGGCAGACUACUCAGAGAGAGACAGACGGGCAGACUACUCAGAGAGAGACAGACGGGCGGACUACUCGGAGAGAGACAGACGGGCGGACUGCUCGGAGAGAGGCAGACGGGCGGACUACUCCGAGGGAGGCAGACGGGCGGACUACUCCGAGGGAGGCAGGCGGGCGGACUACUCCGAGGGAGGCAGGCGGGCGGACUACUCCGAGGGAGGCAGGCGGCCGGACUACUCCGAGGGAGGCAGGCGACCGGACUUCUCCGAGGGAGGCAGACGGGCGGACUUCUCCGAGGGAGGCAGACGGGCGGACUUCUCCGAGGGAGGCAGACGGGCGGACUACUCCGAGGGAGGCAGACGGGCGGACUACUCCGAGGGAGGCAGACGGGCGGACUACUCCGAGGGAGGCAGACAGGCGGACUACUCCGAGGGAGGCAGACAGGCGGACUACUCCGAGGGAGGCAGACAGGCGG